rnacentral:rRNA from 1 species
CACGUAGGGGGCGAGCGUUGUCCGGAAUCAUUGGGCGUAAAGAGCUCGUAGGCGGCUCAGUAAGUCGGGUGUGAAACCCCCAGGCUCAACCUGGGGACGCCACCCGAUACUGCUGUGGCUAGAGUCCAGUAGGGGAGUGUGGAAUUCCCGGUGUAGCGGUGAAAUGCGCAGAUAUCGGGAGGAACACCAGCGGCGAAGGCGGCACUCUGGGCUGGAACUGACGCUGAGGAGCGGAAAG